rnacentral:rRNA from 1 species
GACAGAGGGUGCAAACGUUGUUCGGAAUGACUGGGCGUAAAGCGCGUGUAGGCGGCUAUGCAAGUCGGGCGUGAAAUCCCACGGCUCAACCGUGGAAGUGCACUCGAAACUGCGUAGCUAGAGUCCUGGAGAGGAAGGUGGAAUGCUUGGUGUAGAGGUGAAAUUCGUAGAUAUCAAGCGGAACACCGGUGGCGAAGGCGGCCUUCUGGACAGUGACUGACGCUGAGACGCGAAAGCGUGGGGAGCAAACAGG